rnacentral:rRNA from 1 species
UACGUAGGGGGCAAGCGUUGUCCGGAUUUAUUGGGCGUAAAGAGCGUGUAGGCGGCCUGGCAAGUCUGCUGUGAAAACUCGAGGCUCAACCUCGAGAUGUCGGCGGAAACUGUCUGGCUAGAGUCCGGAAGAGGAGAGUGGAAUUCCUGGUGUAGCGGUGAAAUGCGCAGAUAUCAGGAAGAACACCUAUGGCGAAGGCAGCUCUCUGGGACGGUACUGACGCUGAGACGCGAAAGCGUGGGGAGCGAACAGG